rnacentral:rRNA from 1 species
UACGUAGGCAGCGAGCGUUGUUCGGAGUUACUGGGCGUAAAGCGUGCGUAGGCGGUGUCUUAAGUUUGUUGUGAAAUCUCCCGGCUUAACCGGGAGGGUGCGGCGAAUACUGAGAUGCUGGAGUGCCGGAGAGGUAAGCGGAAUUCCUGGUGUAGCGGUGAAAUGCGUAGAUAUCAGGAGGAACACCUGCGGUGUAGACGGCUUACUGGACGGUAACUGACGCUGAGGCACGAGAGCGUGGGUAGCAAACAGG